AGAACGAACGCUGGCGGCAUGCCUAAUACAUGCAAGUCGAACGAACACUUCGGUGUUAGUGGCGCACGGGUGCGUAACGCGUGGGAAUCUGCCCUUGGGUUCGGAAUAACAGUUGGAAACGACUGCUAAUACCGGAUGAUAUCGGAAGAUCAAAGAUUUAUCGCCCAGGGAUGAGCCCGCGUAGGAUUAGCUAGUUGGUGAGGUAAAGGCUCACCAAGGCGACGAUCCUUAGCUGGUCUGAGAGGAUGAUCAGCCACACUGGGACUGAGACACGGCCCAGACUCCUACGGGAGCAGCAGUAGGGAAUAUUGGACAAUGGGCGAAAGCCUGAUCCAGCAAUGCCGCGUGAGUGAUGAAGGCCUUAGGGUUGUAAAGCUCUUUACCCGAGAUGAUAAUGACAGUAUCGGAGAAUAAGCCCGGCUAACUCCGUGCCAAGCAGCCGC
rnacentral:rRNA from 1 species